GACGAACGCUGGCGGCGUGCCUAAUACAUGCAAGUAGAACGCAGUUGCGAACUGGUGAGUAACGCGUAGGUAACUGCCUCAUAGCGGGGGAUAACUCUUGGAAACGAUAGCUAAUACCGAAUACUGGGCGAUGGACCUGCGUUGUAUUAGCUAGUUGGUGGGGUAAAGGCUCACCCAGACGACGAUACAUAGCCGACCUUAGAGGGUGAUCGGCCACACUGGGACUGAGACACUGCCCAGACUACUACGGGAAGCAGCCGUAGGGAAUCUUCGGCAAUGGAAGGUAGUCUGACCGAGCAACGCCGCGUGAGUGAAGCAUGUUUUCCGAGCGUACAGCCCUGUGGUUCGAGAAGCGUUAACGAACCAGAAAGGGACGGCUAACUACGUGCCAGCAGCCGCGGUAAUAC
rnacentral:rRNA from 1 species